rnacentral:rRNA from 1 species
CCUACGGGAGGCAGCAGUGAGGAAUAUUGGUCAAUGGACGAGAGUCUGAACCAGUCAAGUAGCGUGAAGGAUGACUGCCCUAUGGGUUGUAAACUUCUUUUAUAUGGGAAUAAAAUGUUCCACGUGUGGGAUUUUGUAUGUACCAUAUGAAAAAGGAUCGGCUAACUCCGUGCCAGCAGCCGCGGUAAUACGGAGGAUCCGAGCGUUAUCCGGAUUUAUUGGGUUUAAAGGGGGCGUAGGUGGAUUGUUAAGUCAGUUGUGAAAGUUUGCGGCUCAACCGUAAAAUUGCAGUUGAAACUGGCAGUCUUGAGUACAGUAGAGGUGGGCGGAAUUCGUGGUGUAGCGGUGAAAUGCUUAGAUAUCACGAAGAACUCCGAUUGCGAAGGCAGUUCACUGGACUGCAACUGACACUGAGGCUCGAAAGUGUGGGUAUCAAACAGGAUUAGAUACCCCGGUAGUC